GAUGAACGCUAGCGGGAGGCUUAACACAUGCAAGUCGAGGGGUAACGAUAUCUUCGGAUAGUCGACGACCGGCGCACGGGUGAGUAACAGGUAUGCAACCUACCCUUAACAGGAGGAUAGCCCGAAGAAAUUCGGAUUAAUACUCCAUAACAUUUGUAAAUCGCAUGAUUUACUUUUUAAAGCUCCGGCGGUUAAGGAUGGGCAUGCUUAAUAUUAGCUAGUUGGUAAGGUAACGGCUUACCAAGGCUACGAUAUUUAGGGGUUCUGAGAGGACGAUCCCCCACACUGGUACUGAGACACGGACCAGACUCCUACGGGAGGCAGCAGUGAGGAAUAUUGGUCAAUGGGCGCAAGCCUGAACCAGCCAUCCCGCGUGUAGGAUGACGGCCUUAUGGGUUGUAAACUACUUUUAUAUAGGAAGAAACUUUUCUACGUGUAGAAAACUGACUGUACUAUACGAAUAAGCAUCGGCUAACUCCGUGCCAGCAGCCGCGGUAAUACGGAGGAUGCAAGCGUUAUCCGGAUUUAUUGGGUUUAAAGGGUGUGUAGGCGGAUUAAUAAGUCAGUGGUGAAAUCCUACAGCUUAACUGUAGAACUGCCAUUGAUACUGUUAACCUUGAGUAUAGUUGAGGUAGGCGGAAUGUGUUGUGUAGCGGUGAAAUGCUUAGAUAUAACACAGAACACCGAUUGCGAAGGCAGCUUACUAAACUAUUACUGACGCUGAGGCACGAAAGCGUGGGGAGCGAACAGGAUUAGAUACCCUGGUAGUCCACGCCGUAAACUAUGAUUACUCGUUGUGCGCGAUACAUUGUGCGCGACUAAGCGAAAGCAUUAAGUAAUCCACCUGGGGAGUACGAUCGCAAGAUUGAAACUCAAAGGAAUUGACGGGGGCCCGCACAAGCGGAGGAACAUGUGGUUUAAUUCGAUGAUACGCGAGGAACCUUACCUGGGCUUAAAUGUAGAACGACAGAUCGGGAAACUGAUCUUUCUUCGGACGGACUACAAGGUGCUGCAUGGUUGUCGUCAGCUCGUGCCGUGAGGUGUCGGGUUAAGUCCCAUAACGAGCGCAACCCCUAUCGUUAGUUGCUAGCAGGUAAUGCUGAGGACUCUAGCGAAACUGCCACCGUAAGGUGUGAGGAAGGUGGGGAUGACGUCAAAUCAGCACGGCCCUUAUGUCCAGGGCUACACACGUGUUACAAUGGUCGGUACAAAGGGCAGCUACCUGGUGACAGGAUGCUAAUCUCCAAAACCGAUCCUAGUUCGGAUCGCAGUCUGCAACUCGACUGCGUGAAGUUGGAUUCGCUAGUAAUCGCGCAUCAGCCACGGCGCGGUGAAUACGUUCCCGGGCCUUGUACACACCGCCCGUCAAGCCAUGGAAGUUGGGGGUACCUAAAGUCCGUAACCGUAAGGAGCGGCCUAGGGUAAAACCGAUAACUAGGGCUAAGUCGUAACAAGGUAACC
rnacentral:rRNA from 1 species